UACGGGGGGGGUAAGCGUUGUUCGGAAUUACUGGGCGUAAAGGGCUCGUAGGCGGCCAACUAAGUCGGACGUGAAAUCCCUCAGCUUAACUGGGGAACUGCGUCUGAUACUGGAUGGCUUGAGUUCGGGAGAGGGAUGCGGAAUUCCAGGUGUAGCGGUGAAAUGCGUAGAUAUCUGGAGGAACACCGGUGGCGAAGGCGGCAUCCUGGACCGACACUGACACUGAGGAGCGAAAGCCAGGGGAGCAAACGGG
rnacentral:rRNA from 1 species